rnacentral:rRNA from 1 species
CACGUAGGGUGCGAGCGUUGUCCGGAAUUAUUGGGUGUAAAGAGCUCGUAGGCGGUGUGUCGCGUCGGCCGUGAAAACCUGCAGCUUAACUGUGGGCUUGCGGUCGAUACGGGCAUCACUGGAGUUCGGCAGGGGAGACUGGAAUUCCUGGUGUAGCGGUGAAAUGCGCAGAUAUCAGGAGGAACACCGGUGGCGAAGGCGGGUCUCUGGGCCGAUACUGACGCUGAGGAGCGAAAGCGUGGGGAGCGAACAGG